CAGUCGCCACGGGAAUACGAAGGGGGCUAGCGUUGUUCGGAUUUACUGGGCGUAAAGGGCGCGUAGGCGGGCGAAUAAGUCAGGGGUGAAAUCCCAAGGCUCAACCUUGGAACUGCCUUUGAUACUGUUUGUCUUGAGUUCGAGAGAGGUAAGUGGAACUGCGAGUGUAGAGGUGAAAUUCGUAGAUAUUCGCAAGAACACCAGUGGCGAAGGCGGCUUACUGGCUCGAAACUGACGCUGAGGCGCGAAAGCGUGGGGAGCAAACAGGAUUAGAUACCCCGGUAGUCCCUGUCUCUUAUAA
rnacentral:rRNA from 1 species